CCCCAUGUACAAAUAUAGAUCAGCCACGUUGAAAACAUUGCUUAUGCCCAUAUCAUCAGGUAACUCUAGAACAUAAGCAUUAGGUCCAAUACGUUUCAGCACCUUAUAUGGACCCAUCUUCUUUGGAUGGAGCUUACUGUUGACACCCGACUGAAAUCUGUUCAGGCUUUACU